rnacentral:rRNA from 1 species
GAUGAACGCUGGCGGCGUGCCUAAUACAUGCAAGUCGAGCGAACGGACGAGAAGCUUGCUUCUCUGAUGUUAGCGGCGGACGGGUGAGUAACACGUGGAUAACCUACCUAUAAGACUGGGAUAACUUCGGGAAACCGGAGCUAAUACCGGAUAAUAUUUUGAACCGCAUGGUUCAAAAGUGAAAGACGGUCUUGCUGUCACUUAUAGAUGGAUCCGCGCUGCAUUAGCUAGUUGGUAAGGUAACGGCUUACCAAGGCAACGAUGCAUAGCCGACCUGAGAGGGUGAUCGGCCACACUGGAACUGAGACACGGUCCAGACUCCUACGGGAGGCAGCAGUAGGGAAUCUUCCGCAAUGGGCGAAAGCCUGACGGAGCAACGCCGCGUGAGUGAUGAAGGUCUUCGGAUCGUAAAACUCUGUUAUUAGGGAAGAACAUAUGUGUAAGUAACUGUGCACAUCUUGACGGUACCUAAUCAGAAAGCCACGGCUAACUACGUGCCAGCAGCCGCGGUAAUACGUAGGUGGCAAGCGUUAUCCGGAAUUAUUGGGCGUAAAGCGCGCGUAGGCGGUUUUUUAAGUCUGAUGUGAAAGCCCACGGCUCAACCGUGGAGGGUCAUUGGAAACUGGAAAACUUGAGUGCAGAAGAGGAAAGUGGAAUUCCAUGUGUAGCGGUGAAAUGCGCAGAGAUAUGGAGGAACACCAGUGGCGAAGGCGACUUUCUGGUCUGUAACUGACGCUGAUGUGCGAAAGCGUGGGGAUCAAACAGGAUUAGAUACCCUGGUAGUCCACGCCGUAAACGAUGAGUGCUAAGUGUUAGGGGGUUUCCGCCCCUUAGUGCUGCAGCUAACGCAUUAAGCACUCCGCCUGGGGAGUACGACCGCAAGGUUGAAACUCAAAGGAAUUGACGGGGACCCGCACAAGCGGUGGAGCAUGUGGUUUAAUUCGAAGCAACGCGAAGAACCUUACCAAAUCUUGACAUCCUUUGACAACUCUAGAGAUAGAGCCUUCCCCUUCGGGGGACAAAGUGACAGGUGGUGCAUGGUUGUCGUCAGCUCGUGUCGUGAGAUGUUGGGUUAAGUCCCGCAACGAGCGCAACCCUUAAGCUUAGUUGCCAUCAUUAAGUUGGGCACUCUAAGUUGACUGCCGGUGACAAACCGGAGGAAGGUGGGGAUGACGUCAAAUCAUCAUGCCCCUUAUGAUUUGGGCUACACACGUGCUACAAUGAACAAUACAAAGGGUAGCGAAACCGCGAGGUCAAGCAAAUCCCAUAAAGUUGUUCUCAGUUCGGAUUGUAGUCUGCAACUCGACUACAUGAAGCUGGAAUCGCUAGUAAUCGUAGAUCAGCAUGCUACGGUGAAUACGUUCCCGGGUCU